CAUUAUGCACCGAGAGACCUGCUUCUUACAGUCAUCUCCGUCAUCGUCUGUAAGGUGAAUCAGCUUUCCAAUGCUGUGGUCCUCUGGCCAGAUGAUUGACAGGCCCGUCUGGAUUGAAGAAGGAGACAAUAGGGUACAUAAUUGAAGAGAAAACACCGAAAUUUGCCACUAG